CGUGAAGGAUGAAGGUCCUCUGGAUUGUAACCUUCGUUUUACAGGGGAAGAAAUCACCGCAUUCUUGUGGUGUUGACGGUACCCUGGGAAUAAGCACCGGCUAACUCCGUGCCAGCAGCCGCGGUAAUACGGAGGGUGCAAGCGUUAUCCGGAUUCACUGGGUUUAAAGGGUGCGUAGGAGGGUAGGUAAGUCAGUGGUGAAAUCUCCGGGCUCAACUCGGAAACUGCCGUUGAUACUAUCUGUCUUGAAUCCCGUGGAGAUGAGCGGAAUAUGUCAUGUAGCGGUGAAAUGCUUAGAUAUGACAUAGAACACCAAUUGCGAAGGCAGCUCGUUACACGAAGAUUGACUCUGAGGCACGAAAGCGUGGGGAUCAAACAGGAUUAGAUACCCUGGUAGUCCACGCCCUAAACUAUGGAUACUCGACAUACGCGAUACACCGUGUGUGUCUGAGCGAAAGCAUUAAGUAUCCCACCUGGGAAGUACGACCGCAAGGUUG
rnacentral:rRNA from 1 species